UCUGUUUCCACCAUGGUGAAUUCAGUGGAAAUGCAAGCAGCCAUUGGUUGCACUUGCACUGCUGCUUGUACCACGGCACAGUGAGACGCCAGGUGAGACUGGUAGGGCACGGCUUUGGUGCUUCUCUGUAUGAUGGUGGAGUCUUUGGGAGCUACAGCUUCUUUUUUUUUUUUUUUCUUUUUUUUUUUUUUCUUCUCCCUUUUGCUGCUUGGCACAGGCUGCCUUCUUGUCUGUUCAGCAUGGAGGAAAAUGUCUGGAACAGGCAGGUUGCCUCCCAAGCCACUUAGCCAUGGCAAAGUUGAAGGAAGCACAAUGAGCUUUCCUUUUUUUUAAAUUUAUUUCUUUUUUUUUGUUCUGACGAGUCGACAUCUAACAGUUGGUCCAGGUUAGAAAUAUUAAUAAGAUAGAUGAUAUUUUUCAUGUGUUUUCUUUAUUUGUUUGUCUGUCAUUCUGUGAUAUUUUUUUGCUCCAAAUUUUUUAGCACCACACAAAUAACUCAUGGUGUUUCAAGGCUAUUAACACAGUGAAAGAAAUGAACAUUUGGCUGCUUACCUACACAUUCAUUAAUGCCCCUGUGGUGACAUUUCAAGUGCUGUAUUAUUCCACAUAGCUCAGACUCAGCUCUGUCACUGCAAUUACAGUAAGCUAUGCACUGCAGAGAACGUGAUCAAUCUGGGAACUGCCAGUCCUACAUUUCUUUGUUAGCUCAUAGAAACCCUUUACCUGAAGCUCGUCAAGUUUCCUCAGUGAUUCUUACAUACUUCAAAAAAGUAAUGGGGAGAUUCAAGCUGCAUUCAUGGAGAUCCCAGCAUUAUUUCAUGCUCUUUUCUCUCAAUCAGCAGUGCUUAAUUGCAUUUUUAAUUCUGACAGGCCCAGUAAGUGUAGUCCAGCCAGUUCCCACAUGGUUAGUGAGACCGGAGGUUUUCUAGAUGGUGUCUUAAAGCCAGAAUGCAUUUCUUCUAAAUGAGUGAAAAGAAAUAGUCAAGGCGUGUACCUAUUUUGGACGGUGUGUGGGAGUCUAAGCUUUGUGGAGGAUUGUUUUCUGCUGGAGCAUGUCCUUCCAGGAUCACAUAGGAAAGCAUAAAUCAUCUGUCUGUAAAGAAUUUAGGAAGUUAUCUGAGUGUCUCUGUCACAUCAGGGUGGGCAAUGACUGUUGUUCAAGAAGAGUUCUGAUGUUGGAGGUGGCAACUGUCUUCACUUGUCUAACGUGGAAUAAAUGAGAUCUCAUAAGGUCGGGGUAUAUUUGUCAAUGUGGUGAUUAUGGGAGAAAUGUCAACAUCCUUGCGAUCUACAACGGUCUUCAGAGUAAAGUUCUGCAGGAUGGAUGUUAAAAAUAAGAAUAUCUCCAUCCGGGCCAGACC